rnacentral:misc_RNA from 1 species
GAUUUUUGUCCAGUACUGUGGGCUGCAUUUGGUAUUUGAUUUAGAACAGAUGGAAAUUAAAACUUCACAAAGAAAUAAUAAAGGCUAACUCUUAAUCUCCUCUCCAAAUGCUGUUGAUAUCACUUGGUAAUUUUGACAUAAUUCUCAACCAUCAUAGCUUUUGAUUGUUAAAAUUCAAACUAUAAUAAGAUACGUGAUUAUUAUUUUCUUGCUUUGAACAUCUGAGAAUUCUUUUUUAAACAACACACACGCGCGCAUAUAAGAUGUCAAAAAAGACGUAUAAGAAAUGCAAACUGCAAAAUAUUAAUAUACCUUGAA